CGCAGCCCAUCACUGAGCUCCAACCGUCCGUGACAUCAUCGCCUCCACCCCGAUGUGUACACCCGGCCGCGGCCGACCGCUGCUCCUCAGAAUCAAAACUCACCUGUGAGCCCGUGCGCUGACCCCGGGUCAGAGGGACCAGGAUGCUGCAGUGAUCUGGUUUACAUGGAUGUCUAUGGCUGUCAGUGUGGAGUAAUGCUGGGGGCUGUGAAGAACCAGUGAGUGAAGAGAGAGCAGCAGACGCUCACUCACAGAGAGACACUUGUACGACGGGGGAGAGGACCGACCGCUGUCCCACGGACGGAUAUUAAACACACACACACACACACACACACACUCUUACACUUUUUGCUGCGGUUCCAUCCGUUGUGGCUGGACCUCUGGGGUUGGACGGAGGAGG